rnacentral:rRNA from 1 species
AGUGAACGCUGGCGGUAGGCCUAACACAUGCAAGUCGAACGGCAGCACAGUAAGAGCUUGCUCUUACGGGUGGCGAGUGGCGGACGGGUGAGGAAUACAUCGGAAUCUACUUUUUCGUGGGGGAUAACGUAGGGAAACUUACGCUAAUACCGCAUACGACCUACGGGUGAAAGCAGGGGAUCUUCGGACCUUGCGCGAUUGAAUGAGCCGAUGUCGGAUUAGCUAGUUGGCGGGGUAAAGGCCCACCAAGGCGACGAUCCGUAGCUGGUCUGGGAGGAUGAUCGGCCACACUGGAACUGAGACACGGUCCAGACUCCUACGGGAGGCAGCAGUGGGGAAUAUUGGACAAUGGGCGCAAGCCUGAUCCAGCCAUACCGCGUGGGUGAAGAAGGCCUUCGGGUUGUAAAGCCCUUUUGUUGGGAAAGAAAAGCAGCAGGUUAAUACCCCGCUGUUCUGACGGUACCCAAAGAAUAAGCACCGGCUAACUUCGUG